AUUGAACGCUGGCGGCAUGCUUUACACAUGCAAGUCGAACGGUAACAGGGUGCUUGCACCGCUGACGAGUGGCGAACGGGUGAGUAAUGCGUCGGAACGUGCCGAGUAGUGGGGGAUAACGCAGCGAAAGUUGUGCUAAUACCGCAUACGUACUGAGGUAGAAAGUGGGGGACCUUCGGGCCUCACGCUAUUCGAGCGGCCGACGUCUGAUUAGCUAGUAGGUGAGGUAAAGGCUCACCUAGGCGACGAUCAGUAGCGGGUCUGAGAGGAUGAUCCGCCAGACUGGGACUGAGACACGGCCCAGACUCCUACGGGAGGCAGCAGUGGGGAAUUUUGGACAAUGGGCGAAAGCCUGAUUCAGCCAUGCCGCGUGUCUGAAGAAGGCCUUCGGGUUGUAAAGGACUUUUGUCGGGGAGGAAAUCCCCAGCGUUAGUACCGCUGGGGGAUGACAGUACCUGAAGAAUAAGCACCGGCUAACUCUGUGCCAGCAGCCGCGGUAAAAC
rnacentral:rRNA from 1 species